UUCAUCAAAUGGAUUUGGCAUUAGGACCUG
rnacentral:piRNA from 1 species